rnacentral:rRNA from 1 species
GUACACUCCUACGGGAGGCAGCAGUGGGGAAUAUUGCACAAUGGGCGCAAGCCUGAUGCAGCCAUGCCGCGUGUAUGAAGAAGGCCUUCGGGUUGUAAAGUACUUUCAGCGGGGAGGAAGGCGAUAAGGUUAAUAACCUUGUCGAUUGACGUUACCCGCAGAAGAAGCACCGGCUAACUCCGUGCCAGCAGCCGCGGUAAUACGGAGGGUGCAAGCGUUAAUCGGAAUUACUGGGCGUAAAGCGCACGCAGGCGGUCUGUCAAGUCGGAUGUGAAAUCCCCGGGCUCAACCUGGGAACUGCAUUCGAAACUGGCAGGCUAGAGUCUUGUAGAGGGGGGUAGAAUUCCAGGUGUAGCGGUGAAAUGCGUAGAGAUCUGGAGGAAUACCGGUGGCGAAGGCGGCCCCCUGGACAAAGACUGACGCUCAGGUGCGAAAGCGUGGGGAGCAAACAGGAUUAGAUACCCUUGUAGUCCCA